rnacentral:rRNA from 1 species
UCUGACUGUGCUAAGGUAGCAUAAUAAUUUGUCUUUUAAUUGAGGACUGGAAUAAACGAGUUGACGAAGAGAAAUCUGUCUCCUUUAGGCUUCUUAAACUUUCCUUUAAGGUUAAAAGGCCUUAUAAUCCCAAAGGGACGACAAGACCCUAAAAACUUUAUCUCUUACUUGAAGAAUAAGAAAUACAAUUCUUGAGAUUUUACUGGGGCGGUAAAUUGCAACAAAAUUUAACCUAACACCUUGAGUGAAAUAAUAGUACAUGAAUACAUAUACAAGAAACAGUUACUUUAGGGAUAACAGCGCAAUUUUUCCAGAGAGUUCUCUUCGCCGGAAAGGAUUACGACCUCGAUGUUGAAUUGAAACUCCUCCUGAAG